GAGACAGCAGCCGCCGCGGUAAUACGAAGGGGGCUAGCGUUGCUCGGAAUCACUGGGCGUAAAGGGUGCGUAGGCGGGUCUUUAAGUCAGGGGUGAAAUCCUGGAGCUCAACUCCAGAACUGCCUUUGAUACUGAAGAUCUUGAGUUCGGGAGAGGUGAGUGGAACUGCGAGUGUAGAGGUGAAAUUCGUAGAUAUUCGCAAGAACACCAGUGGCGAAGGCGGCUCACUGGCCCGAUACUGACGCUGAGGCACGAAAGCGUGGGGAGCAAACAGGAUUAGAUACCCCAGUAGUCCCUGUCUCUUAUAC
rnacentral:rRNA from 1 species